UACAGAGGGGGCAAGCGUUAUUCGGAAUUAUUGGGCGUAAAGGGCGCGUAGGCGGCUUUGCAAGUGACGGGUGAAAUCCCUCGGCUUAACCGAGGAACUGCCUGUCAAACUGCAUGGCUUGAGACCGGGAGAGGUGAGUGGAAUUCCCAGUGUAGCGGUGAAAUGCGUAGAUAUCGGGGGGGAACACCAGUGGCGAAGGCGACUACCUGGCCUGUUUCUUGACGCUGAGGCGCGAAAGCUAGGGGAGCAAACGGG
rnacentral:rRNA from 1 species